rnacentral:misc_RNA from 1 species
AACGCACAUUGCGCCCGCCGGUAUUCCGGCGGGCAUGCCUGUCCGAGCGUCAUUUCACCACUCAAGCCCAGCUUGGCGUUGGGGCACCCGGCCGCCCGGCGGUCGGGGCCCCCAAGAACAUCGGCGGUCUCGCUAGGACCCUGAGCGCAGUAACUCGCGGUAAAACGCGCUUCGCUCGGAGGCUUUCCCGGCGGGCUCCAGCCGCUAAACCCCCUAAACUUCUUAGGUUGACCUCGGAUCAGGUAGGAAUACCCGCUGAACUUAA